rnacentral:misc_RNA from 1 species
AAGUCGUAACAAGGUUUCCGUAGGUGAACCUGCGGAAGGAUCAUUACCGAAGUCAAGGCCCCUUCGGGGGCUAAACUUCCACCCUUUGUUUACCUUACCAUUGUUGCUUUGGCGGGCCGCCUUAGGCCACCGGCUCUCGAGCUGGUGCGUGCCCGCCAGAGACCCCCAAACCCAAACCAUAUUUAGUGUCGUCUGAAAACAAGUUUAAAUUAUUAAAACUUUCAACAACGGAUCUCUUGGUUCUG